rnacentral:rRNA from 1 species
CCGGUACAAGCGUAUAGCAGUCAUGCAGGCAAAACCGCAUGAAAAAUGUAAAGCGUUAUGUGGAUCGAACAUUAGUAGAGAAGCGUGUGAGCCAGCUGCCAAGAAAAGCCGCUAUUGUUUCAUAAGUACCCGUACCGUAAACCGACACAGGUGGAUGAGGAGAGAAUCCUAAGGCCGGCGGGAGAAGUGUUGUUAAGGAACUCGGCAAAAUGACUCCGUAACUUCGGGAGAAGGAGUGCCACAGAGAUGUGGCCGCAGAGAAAUGGCCCAAGCAACUGUUUAGCAAAAACACAGGUCUAUGCAAAACCGAAAGGUGAGGUAUAUGGGCUGACGCCUGCCCGGUGCUGGAAGGUUAAGAGGAGAGGUUAGAGCAAUCGAAGCUUUGAAUUUAAGCCCCAGUAAACGGCGGCCGUAACUAUAACGGUCCUAAGGUAGCGAAAUUCCUUGUCGGGUAAGUUCCGACCCGCACGAAAGGCGUAAUGAUUUGGGCACUGUCUCAACAACACACCCGGUGAAAUUGAAAUACCAGUGAAGAUGCUGGUUACCUGCGCCAGGACGGAAAGACCCCAUGGAGCUUUACUCCAGUUUGAUACUGGGAUUCGGUACUGUCUGUACAGGAUAGGUGGGAGGCUAGGAAAUGGUGACGCCAGUUGCCAUGGAGCCAACCUUGGGAUACCACCCUUACAGUACUGGGUUUCUAACCUGCAGCCGUAACCCGGCUGGGGGACAAUGUCUGACGGGGAGUUUGACUGGGGCGGUCGCCUCCGAAAGAGUAUCGGAGGCGCUCAAAGGUUCCCUCAGAACGGUUGGAAACCGUUCGAAGAGUGCAAAGGCAGAAGGGAGCUUGACUGCGACACCGACGGGUGGAGCAGAUACGAAAGUAGGACUUAGUGAUCCGGUGGUAUAAAGUGGGAUUGCCAUCGCUCAACGGAUAAAAGCUACCCUGGGAUAACAGGCUUAUCACUCCCAAGAGUUCACAUCGACGGAGUGGUUUGGCACCUCGAUGUCGGCUCAUCGCAUCCUGGAGCUGUAGCAGGUUCCAAGGGUUGGGCUGUUCGCCCAUUAAAGCGGUACGCGAGCUGGGUUCAGAACGUCGUGAGACAGUUCGGUCCCUAUCCGGCGUGGGCGUAGGAUAUUUGAGAGGAGCUGUCCUUAGUACGAGAGGACCGGGAUGGACAAACCUCUGGUGUAUCUGUUGUUUUACCAAAGGCAUGGCAGAGUAGCCAAGUUUGGCAGGGAUAAACGCUGAAGGCAUCUAAGCGUGAAGCCCCCCUCAAGAUAAGAUAUCCCAUCUUCGGAGUAAGACCCCUUGAAGACUACAAGGUUGAUAGGCUUCAGGUGUAAGUGCGGUAACGCACUCAGCUGAGAAGUACUAAUAGGUCGAGGACUUAUAAAA